UACGUAGGGUGCGAGCGUUAAUCGGAAUUACUGGGCGUAAAGCGUGCGCAGGCGGCUUUGCAAGACAGAUGUGAAAUCCCCGGGCUCAACCUGGGAACUGCAUUUGUGACUGCAAGGCUAGAGUACGGUAGAGGGGGAUGGAAUUCCGCGUGUAGCAGUGAAAUGCGUAGAUAUGCGGAGGAACACCAAUGGCGAAGGCAAUCCCCUGGACCUGUACUGACGCUCAUGGACGAAAGCGGGGGGAAGAAACAGG
rnacentral:misc_RNA from 1 species